UUUUAUUUAUAUAUGUUUUUGAGCUAGAAUUUGAUGGAUAACUAGCUUGUUAUAUAUAAUUCGUAUUAGUUAGAAAAACUUGAUCAAUAUUAGGUAUGAGAAAAAAAUAAAGUAAAUGUGUUGUUAAUAUUUAGUCAUUGCAAUAAAAUUAAAGUAAAAAAAUUGUAGGCGUAAGAGAUUAGAACAGUAAGGAUUAGGAUACACCACCGUACAAACCAAAUAGUUGAAACAACACAAUAAUGAUGGAGCUCAU
rnacentral:lncRNA from 1 species